UACGUAGGGUGCGAGCGUUAAUCGGAAUUACUGGGCGUAAAGCGUGCGCAGGCGGUUCUCCAAGGCCGUUGUGAAAGCCCCGGGCUCAACCUGGGAAUGGCAGUGGAAACUAGGGGACUGGAAUCUGGCAGAGGGGGGUGGAAUGCCGCGUGUAGCAGUGAAAUGCGUAGAGAUGCGGCGGAACACCGAUGGCGAAGGCAGCCCCCUGGGCUGAGAUUGACGCUCAGGCACGAAAGCGUGGGGAGCAAACAGG
rnacentral:rRNA from 1 species